rnacentral:rRNA from 1 species
UACGAAGGGGGCUAGCGUUGCUCGGAACGACUGGGCGUAAAGGGCGCGUAGGCGGUUCGUACAGUCAGACGUGAAAUUCCCGGGCUCAACCUGGGGGCUGCGUUUGAUACGUGCGGGCUUGAGUUCGGAAGAGGGUCGUGGAAUUCCCAGUGUAGAGGUGAAAUUCGUAGAUAUUGGGAAGAACACCGGUGGCGAAGGCGGCGACCUGGUCCGAUACUGACGCUGAGGCGCGAAAGCGUGGGGAGCAAACAGG